AUUGAACGCUGGCGGCAUGCCUUACACAUGCAAGUCGAGCGGAGAGAGGUAGCUUGCUACCGAUCUUAGCGGCGGACGGGUGAGUAAUGCUUAGGAAUCUGCCUAUUAGUGGGGGACAACAUUUCGAAAGGAAUGCUAAUACCGCAUACGUCCUACGGGAGAAAGCAGGGGAUCUUCGGACCUUGCGCUAAUAGAUGAGCCUAAGUCGGAUUAGCUAGUUGGUGGGGUAAAGGCCUACCAAGGCGACGAUCUGUAGCGGGUCUGAGAGGAUGAUCCGCCACACUGGGACUGAGACACGGCCCAGACUCCUACGGGGGGCAGCAGUGGGGAAUAUUGGACAAUGGGCGAAAGCCUGAUCCAGCCAUGCCGCGUGUGUGAAGAAGGUCUUCGGAUUGUAAAGCACUUUAAGUUGGGAGGAAGGGCAGUAAGUUAAUACCUUGCUGUUUUGACGUUACCGACAGAAUAAGCACCGGCUAACUUCGUGCCAGCAGCCGCGGUAAAAC
rnacentral:rRNA from 1 species